GUAGGUUAUGAUGAUUUUUUUAUAUCGAAAUUACUAAGCAGUAUAUUAGAAAAACUGUGAUAAAAACAUUUUUUGUUUUGUUUUAGGACCAAAUUGAAGGGUUGUUAUGAUGCGAUCGUAACCAAAAUGUACAACACAUGUGUUACUGUUUUUUUGAGUUUUCUGUCAAAAUAGAACAUAUGAUGCCCAAACAAGUCAAUUCAACAAAAAGCACUGUAUCACCCUCUGCAUGAUUCUUAGGUGGAGCCAUACUUAACAUUUGUAACAGAUGUGCAUUUUGAUAAUAUAAUAAAUGUCUCUUCAAUAAUGUUGGGAGUCAACUUAUUCCAAACCGCUCAUACCAUGUAUUGAAAGAAUGACGAGUCAUAAACCAAAAUGAACAAAAAUGUAUAGCCAAAGUAAGACAAGAAAUCAGAACUUUGCAUGAGAGAGAUACGUUCUUUAUUAACAUUAUUUUCAAACGUUUUGUAACAGCAAUUUUUUUUAACGCGAAUUCAGAAGUAACAACUUCAUAAAUGGUGAUACCUUUGGGGACUAUUAUUUAACCAGAAUAGGCAUCGAUCUAGUUGUAAAAAUAACAGAAACGGUACCAUUUUUUCUGCACCAUUUCACAUAUUGGUAUUAGUGAGCAUCCUUACCGAUACGAUAUAUAAAUUUUGAAAAUCAACCGGUUAAUACAAGGCAGUUUGGCCUUGAAAUUUUUUACUAUUUACAAUUAAAUCAAAAUAUAUAAGGAACAAAACAAAACCUACAUUUGCAAUAGCAUUUCUAGAUAAUUCUUCACUGAACAGAAUGCAUCCGUUUAAUGUUAAAACCAGAAAGGGCUUAACGUAUAUGUAGUAUAUUAAUGACAAACAGUAUCAUAAUGUUGGUGAUUUAAUGUCUUAAAUUUAGAAUUGAGCGGAACCUUAACAAAAGUAAUCGAACAAACCCAUACAUAAGCUAAGCUAUAGCAUAGGAUAGAAAAUCAUAC
rnacentral:lncRNA from 1 species